GCGGAUGGACGAACACCU
rnacentral:snRNA from 1 species